GUCAUAACCACAUGCCACACAACAGAAUUCAGUUUCCACUUUCGAAUGCCAAAGAGCGAUUGAAGGAAUGGGAAGAAGGGUGAGUGAGUGCAUAGGAUGAAAAUCAUGUCGAAUUCUUUUAGGAAUGUUAGAGCAUACCUCAUGGAGAAAGUAACGACAACAAUCACAACCAUAAGCUACCCCGGAUAUUGUAAUAGCACACAUAUUGCAUCUUAUAACUUCUGUUCCUUUAAGAUGAAAUCUUAGCAGAGGAUGUCUGUGGCUGAAGUGCAACAGAUCACCAUCACGAACACGAGGAGGCGUUUUUGACACACAACUUUCCUCUUCCUUUGCAAUCAAUUUAGAACAGCUU
rnacentral:misc_RNA from 1 species